CAAAGGGCUGGCAGCGGGAACCAACGGGGUCUGUAGGGAACCAAUGGGGCCUGUAGGAACCCAAUGGGGCCUAUAGGAACCCAACAGGGCCUGCAGGGAUCCAACGGGGUCUGUAGGGAACCAAUAGGGCCUGUAAGAACACAACAGGGCCUGCAGGGAACCAACGGGGCCUGCAGGGAACCAACGGGGUCUGUAGGGAACCAGUGGGGCCUGUAGGAACCCAAUGGGGCCUGCAGAGAACCAACAGGGCCUGUAGGGAACCAAUGGGGCCUGUAGGAACCCAACAGGGCCUGCAGGGAACCAACGGGGUCUGUAGGGAACCAAUAAAGGGCUGUAAAACACCACAGCGGCCUGGCAGGGACCAAUGGGGUCUGUAGGGAACCAAUGGGGCCUGCAGAGAACCAACGGGGCCUGUAGGGAACCA
rnacentral:lncRNA from 7 species